CCUACGGGCGGCUGCAGUGAGGAAUCUUGCGCAAUGGGCGAAAGCCUGACGCAGCGACGUCGCGUGACUGAUGAAGUCUUUCGGGAUGUAAAGGUCUUUUUUGGGGGAAGAAGGAUGUGACGGUACCCCAAGAAUAAGCCCCGGCUAACUACGUGCCAGCAGCCGCGGUAAUACGUAGGGGGCGAGCGUUGUCCGAAUUCACUGGGCGUAAAGCGCGCGUAGGCGGAUCUUUAAGUCAGAGGUGAAAUGCCGAGGCUCAACCUCGGAACUGCCUUUGAAACUGGGGAUCUUGAGGUAUGGAGAGGGAAGUGGAAUUCCAGGUGUAGCGGUGAAAUGCGUAGAUAUCUGGAGGAACACCCGUGGCGAAGGCGGCUUCCUGGUCAUAUCCUGACGCUGAGGUGCGAAAGCUAGGGGAGCGAACGGGAUUAGAUACCCUGGUAGUC
rnacentral:rRNA from 1 species